UGCGAGGUCAAGCCUGGAGCAAGGUGUGAAAAGCAAGAGGGAGUAUUUUUAGCAUGUAGGAAAGAGAGCAACGCGCCGGUUCGCUGGAUGCAGGGCAGUCGGGAGCAGAUGGCGUACAAGCUUCUCAUGCUGUGCUCCCUGUAAAAACACCUCCGUCUUGAGGCUACUGCAGUCCUGGGCUCCCCAUCCUCCUCCUCCUCCUCCUCCUCAGCCCAGACCUUCCCUGGCUCAUUGCCCCCACCCUCGGCUCCUGGGGCAGCUCUCAGCAGGGGCUGGAGCGGGAGGCUGAUGAUGGUACACGAACCGGCACCUUGUGCAGGCUCCUGUUGAAGCCCCGUGCAAAGAAAUGGAUAGACUUCAGCCAUCAAUAAUAUCGCUGGAGGAGAAAAUUGAAGGGAUAUCUGCCCAAUUAAAUAACCUACAGGGCUGGAAUUGAGAAUCAAUGUGGCAUGAACGAUGAGGUAUGGACUACCGACGCUGAACACUAAAUCCACUGCAGCCUCGGAUUUAACAGAGAGAGAGGGAUGGGGAGGAAUACUGCAGCCGUGACUGCCCAGGCUGCGCGCGUCGGCCUUGGCGUGGCCGGGGAACAGCUCG